GCUAAACGCGAAGAACCUUACCUAGGUUUGACAUAUACGAGAAGCCUCUAGAGAUAGAGGUCUCUUUGGACACUUGUAUACAGGUGGUGCAUGGCUGUCGUCAGCUCGUGUCGUGAGAUGUUGGGUUAAGUCCCGCAACGAGCGCAACCCUCGUCUUAUGUUGCCAGCACGUAAUGGUGGGGACUCAUAAGAGACUGCCGGGGUCAACUCGGAGGAAGGUGGGGAUGACGUCAAGUCAUCAUGCCCCUUAUGCCUAGGGCUUCACGCAUGCUACAAUGGCUGGUACAAAGGGCUGCGAUACCGCAAGGUGGAGCGAAUCCCAAAAAGCCAGUCUCAGUUCGGAUUGGGGUCUGCAACUCGACCCCAUGAAGUCGGAGUCGCUAGUAAUCGCAGAUCAGCAACGCUGCGGUGAAUACGUUCCCGGGUCUUGUACACACCG
rnacentral:rRNA from 1 species